AUACGUAGGGUGCGAGCGUUGUCCGGAAUUACUGGGCGUAAAGAGCUCGUAGGUGGUUUGUCGCGUAGUCUGUGAAAUUCCGGGGCUUAACUCGGGGCGUGCAGGCGAUACGGGCAUAACUUGAGUACUGUAGGGGAGACAGGAAUUCCUGGUGUAGCGGUGAAAUGCGCAGAUAUCAGGAGGAACCCCGGUGGCGAAGGCGGGUCUCUGGGCAGUAACUGACGCUGAGGAUCGAAAGCAUGGGUAGCGAACAGGAUUAGAUACCCUGGUAGUCCAUGCCGUAAACGGUGGGCGCUAGGUGUAGGGGUCUUCCACGACUUCUGUGCCGUAGCUAACGCAUUAAGCGCCCCGCCUGGGGAGUACGGCCGCAAGGCUAAAACUCAAAGGAAUUGACGGGG
rnacentral:rRNA from 1 species